ensembl:lncRNA
AUGGACACCUGCCAGGCUGCCCUGAGCUUGCUGCUAGUGGGAAGCGUUAGGCAUGGUUCCUGGCAUCGGUCCGCAGGCACGGAGCGGCGGCUGCAGAACACCUACCAGUGGCAGCUGUGGAGCCCAUUGCUAAAUACCUGCUGCCAGCCCCGUCUCCUCAGUUCUCUCUCAGCACGUUCACCACCUCACGGAUGGUACAAACCCCUGAAUUCACAAUAUGCCUGUCUGGGACACGUGACUGCAAGUUGCCCGCUGCACUCCGCUGGGGUGCACGGACAGACAGAUCACUGGGGAGGAAGGUACUGGCAGAAGUCACCUGGCUUGCUCUGCUGGACUGUGACAGGUAAGCAGAGGACUGUGACAGUGUUUUCUGCUUAGAGAAUUGCUCCUCAUCUUCCUCAGGAAGAGGCAGAAAGCCAGCUCUGGCCCACAGGAUGCCAGCUUAACCGCAAGGGAUAAAGCAUGUUCCAAAAGUGUGAAAGCAUAAUCCACAAGUGCAGAAGUCAGCAGCAUAUCAAGGAGGUGGCAACCUAAAUACACCUUACACUGCUUCACAAAUCUGUUCUCUAUCUUUCCAGGCGUCAGUAGGAAGAUUGUACUAUCGGAUCUGGACUAGCUAGAAGCCAAGUGUUACAUUAAAAUCUGUAGGCCACAGGAGGCUUGUGAACAUAGGUCUUUUGUUGAAAUGUUCUCUCUAUACUGUAUCUACAGAUUUGGUUUAGCUUUACACCUAGGUUCUUCUGGCACAGCUGUUCGCAUUAGGAAAGUCAAGCAUGAUGACAGAUCUGAUAGCCAGCACUGUCUGACGCAAACGUGGGAAGAAGGAAGCAAGAGAAAUCAAAGAAGAAAAAUGUGUCUCUCCAUUACUACACAACAGCAAACAGUCUAGCCAUACUCUUGCUGAAAGGAAUUUGAUGUCUCGGUCAGUGCUUUGCCUAAUGAGCUACCAACAUCAAUCUGUCAUCAUCUGUAUUAUUUGAAAUGGCCUCUGCUGACACAAGGUAUAUUCAUGUACUGGCCCUCCUGGGCACUUGAGAGUUCAAGUCCUGGCCAGUUUAUACCACACUGAAUGAUAAUGAAGGGUAACGGAAUAAUCAUUGGCUUCCUUCUCUCAGGGGGAGGCAAGAAUGUUGUUGUAGGGAUCUCCCCCAGCCAAGAAUGGCUUUUGAUUACAGAACAGGGAAUACCACUUAUUUGCUUCUCUGUGUACAAAGAGUCUCUAGUAGUUCCCUGCAACAGUGCUUUAGCUCUCCAUAGCACAUGUAACGCAUCUGUCCGUCUGUGCUGGCAUUUCCCUGAGCCUGUCCUGAGUACCUGAUUCUCAAGACCUUGCAGGGCUAUAUGGCAGUUCAAGAGAUGAACACCGACAAUGGCUGGGAAUUUCAAGCAGAGGGGAUAUGCCAGAGAAAAAGGCUGAGAUGCCCACCAAAAAAUGGUGUAGCCUCACCAGUGUGGCUCUGAGAGUUAUUUUUACAUGCGGGCAAGAACAAAAGCAGUGUUCAGCACCUGCCAGUUACAGCACACGUUGUAACCGGUAGAAUUUAACACCACUGUUAGGUUCAGAAUCUCUCGGCUGAAUGUAAACAAAGCUACAGCUCGCUCUCCUUUGCCAUUACACGACUUAACAAAUUCACAAGUGUAUCAGGAAAAGGUGUUGAUGUUCACCUCUUUAUACAAACGUGACACUGGAUGUUGUUUUUAAUCAGCCCGUGAUGCUUACAUUCACAUCUCCCUUUCUUCUAGACACUAAGGAGAAGGUCACCUGGGCACCUGUGUCUGUUCAGAGCACCACAUGCUUAUUGCUCUUGACAGCUUGGAGUCCAGGUCUGCUGUGAAACUGAUGUAUAAACUCAGCUAGGAAAGCUGUAAGUUUAACUACUUUGCUGUCACAAAAGUUAUCCGUACUUUAUGUCUAACAUGGAAAAUUUCACAUCCUUAAGAAGAAAUGUCUAUAUAAUUUAUUUCAAAUUGCACUGACUUGGAAAGACCCACUUCCCCUAUUGCAAAAAAAGUUGUAACGUAUUGCCUCCAUGCUAUUAAAUUAGAAUGUCCACAUCAUGUUUCCUCUCCUAGUUCUAGCUUUUUAGCUAUGUGGCUCAAAGGCUGCAGAAAGAGUGAAUAAAUGGAUGACAUGGACAAAUAGCA